UGGGGAAUAUUCCGCAAUGGGGGAAACCCUGACGGAGCAAUGCCGCGUGAGGGAAGAAGGCCUUCGGGUUGUAAACCUUUGUUUUAUGGGAAGAUAGUGACGGUACCAUAAGAGGAAGCCCCGGCUAACUACGUGCCAGCAGCCGCGGUAAUACGUAGGGGGCAAGCGUUGUCCGGAAUUACUGGGCGUAAAGGGCGUGUAGGCGGUUUUUUAAGUUAGGAGUGAAAACUCGAGGCUUAACCUCGAGAGUGCUUCUAAAACUGGGAGACUUGAGUGCAGGAGAGGAAGGUAGUAUUCCUGGUGUAGCGGUGAAAUGCGUAGAUAUCAGGAGGAAUACUCGUGGCGAAGGCGGCCUUCUGGCCUGUAACUGACGCUGAGGCGCGAAAGCGUGGGGAGCAAACAGGAUUAGAUACCCUGGUAGUCCACGCCGUAAACGAUGAGUGCUAAGUGUUGGAGGUAUCGACCCCUUCAGUGCUGCAGUUAACGCAUUAAGCACUCCGCCUGGGGAGUACGGUCGCAAGACUGA
rnacentral:rRNA from 1 species